UGCUGAAUUAUUCGCCAAUGCGCGAAAGCGUGACGGUGCGACGCCGCGUGCGGGAUGAAGGCCUUCGGGUCGUAAACCGCUGUCAGGACUUAGGAAACCGCAGACGUUAAUAGCGGCUGCGCUGACCAGGUCCAAAGGAAGCACAGGCUAAUCUCGUGCCAGCAGCCGCGGUAAUACGAGAUGUGCAAGCGGUGUUCGGAAUUACUGGGCAUAAAGGGUGCGCAGGCGGUCUGGAAAGUCAGGGGUGAAAUCCCACGGCUCAACCGUGGAAUUGCUUUUGAAACUACCAGACUUGAGUGCGAAAGGGGCAAGCGGAAUUCCAGGUGUAGCGGUGGAAUGCGUAGAUAUCUGGGAGAACGCCGAUGGCGAAGGCAGCUUGCUGGGUCGCAACUGACGCUCAUGCACGAAAGCUAGGGGAGCAAACA
rnacentral:rRNA from 1 species